AAAAAGAUUUUAGAAUAUAGGGAUU
rnacentral:piRNA from 1 species